UACGUAGGGUGCGAGCGUUAAUCGGAAUUACUGGGCGUAAAGUGUGCGCAGGCGGCAGAGCAAGUCGAGUGUGAAAGCCCCGGGCUUAACUUGGGAAUGGCAUUUGGGACUGCAAGGCUGGAGUCUGGCAGAGGAGACUGGAAUUCCUGGUGUAGCGGUGAAAUGCGCAGAUAUCAGGAGGAACACCGGUGGCGAAGGCGGGUCUCUGGGCAACAACUGACGCUGAGGAGCGAAAGCGUGGGGAGCGAACAGG
rnacentral:rRNA from 1 species